rnacentral:tRNA from 1 species
GGAGUGGUAGCUCAAUUUGGUUAGAGCAUCUCACUGUCACUGAGAAGGUUGCGAGUUCGAGCCUCGUCCAUUCCG